UACGUAGGGGGCGAGCGUUGUCCGGAUUUAUUGGGCGUAAAGAGCUCGUAGGCGGUUUGUCGCGUCGGGAGUGAAAACCUUGGGCUUAACUCAGGGCUUGCUUUCGAUACGGGCAGACCAGAGGUAUGCAGGGGAGAACGGAAUUCCUGGUGUAGCGGUGAAAUGCGCAGAUAUCAGGAGGAACACCGGAGGCGAAAGCGGUGUACUGGGGCUGGUCUGACGCUGAGGCACGAAAGCCAGGGGAGCGAACGGG
rnacentral:rRNA from 1 species